CCAUGCCCCGAAACCCCCGGGUGCACNCGGNUUACAAUGGCAGGGACAGCGGGAUGCUACCCCNAAAGGGGGAGCCAAUCCCCCAAACCCUGCCGCANUUGGGAUCNAGGGCUGGAACCCGCCCUCGUGAACGAGGAAUCCCUAGUAACCGCGGGUCAACAACCCGCGGUGAAUACGUCCCUGCUCCUUGUA
rnacentral:rRNA from 1 species